AGAGGGUGCAAGCGUUAAUCGGAAUGACUGGGCGUAAAGGGCGUGUAGGUGGAUUCGUAAGUCAAAGGUGAAAUCCCCGGGCUUAACCUGGGAACUGCCUCUGAAACUGUGAGUCUAGAGUAUAGGAGAGGGAAGUGGAAUUUCCGGUGUAGCGGUGAAAUGCGUAGAUAUCGGAAGGAACACCAGUGGCGAAGGCGGCUUCCUGGCCUAAUACUGACACUGAGGCGCGAAAGCGUGGGUAGCGAACAGGAUUAGAUACCCUGGUAGUCCACGCCGUAAACGAUGAGAACUAGAUGUUGGCUGGCUUAGACCAGUUAGUAUCGUAGCUAACGCGAUAAGUUCUCCGCUGGGGAGUACGGCCGCAAGGUUA
rnacentral:rRNA from 1 species